rnacentral:rRNA from 1 species
CUUCCUACGGGAGGCAGCAGUGGGGAAUAUUGGGCAAUGGGCGCAAGCCUGACCCAGCGACGCCGCGUGAGGGAAGACGGUCUUCGGAUUGUAAACCUCUUUCAGCAGGGAAGACAAAAGGACGGUACCUGCAGAAGAAGCCACGGCUAACUACGUGCCAGCAGCCGCGGUAAUACGUAGGUGGCAAGCGUUAUCCGGAUUUACUGGGUGUAAAGGGAGCGUAGGCGGUUUAGCAAGUCAGAAGUGAAAGCCCGGGGCUCAACUCCGGGACUGCUUUUGAAACUGUUGAACUAGAUUGCAGGAGG